rnacentral:rRNA from 1 species
AUCCGGAGGAUGCAAGCGUUAUCCGGAUUUAUUGGGCGUAAAGAGCGUGUAGGCGGCCAAGCAAGUCCGACGUGAAAUCUGGAGGCUUAACCUCCAGCGGUCGUUGGAAACUGUUUGGCUAGAGUCCGGAAGAGGAGAGUGGAAUUCCUGGUGUAGCGGUGAAAUGCGCAGAUAUCAGGAAGAACACCUAUGGCGAAAGCGGCUCGUGAGGCCGGUACUGACUCUGAGACGAGAAAGCGUGGGGGGCAAACGGGAUGAGAUCCCCCGGUAGUCCACGCCGUAAACGAUGGGUGCUAGGUGUGGGCGGUGACGACUCCGUCCGUGCCGAAGCUAACGCAUUAAGCACCCCGCCUGGGGAGUACGGCCGCAAGGCUAAAACUCAAAUGAAUUGACGGGG